rnacentral:tRNA from 2 species
GCCCUCUUAGCUCAAUUGGUAGAGCACCGGUUUUGUAAACCGGUUGUUAGGGGUUCAAGUCCCCUAGAGGGCU